GGGCAGGAAGAGCUGCUGCUCAGGGCUGUGAGGGAUGGCAGCCAGCCUCCUGCUCCCUCAUCAAAUUAUAUUCCAUCUCUCAAUGGAAGGAACAGCCAAGAACCUACAGCCAUGUUUAAUCUGCCACCACUAUGUAUACGGAGCUACACUGCCAUACUUGCAGAGUUAGUCAAAUGUUGUAGGUUACAGGAUUGUCUUGACAAGAGACCAGAGGAGGGAAAGCAAGCCAUCCCAGUGGUCUAUCAGGAUCACCUCUACUGACUCAGUGAAAACAACAAACUUGAGGGUCCUGCUUCUGCCUCUGACGAUGGUGUCCCUGUG